UACGGAGGGUGCAAGCGUUAUCCGGAUUCACUGGGUUUAAAGGGUGCGUAGGUGGGCAAGUAAGUCAGUGGUGAAAUCUCCGGGCUUAACCCGGAAACUGCCAUUGAUACUAUUUGUCUUGAAUACUGUGGAGGUCAGCGGAAUAUGUCAUGUAGCGGUGAAAUGCUUAGAUAUGACAUAGACCACCAAUUGCGAAGGCAGCUGGCUACACAAAUAUUGACACUGAGGCACGAAAGCGUGGGGAUCAAACAGG
rnacentral:rRNA from 1 species